rfam:Oryza glaberrima chromosome 2 Oglab02_0439_8, whole genome shotgun sequence.
ACAAAAACAAAACAUAUAUUUCCAUGCCAACGUUGGACUAUUCAUCUUAUAUGAAAUUUUUUUAUAAUUAGUAUUUUCAUUGUUGUUAGAUGAUAAAAUAUGAUUAAUACUUUAUGCGUGACUUAUCUUUUUUAAUUUUUUCAUAGUUUUUUCAAAUAAGACGGACGGUCAAACAUUGGACACGGAUUUCCACUGCUGCACUUAUU